CCAACAUUGAAGAAAGGUAAAAAGAACUGUAACUACCAAUUGAUUUAUUCUAUUUCCUGAACAUGAUUAUGGGGGCGGCCAUCUUGUUCUUGACAGCAUUUAAUGUUUAUUUUUAAGAGCGAAGAAAGAAAAGCAGAACAAGAGCCAUCCACAUUGGGCACCUGCUUUGAGUUUGGAGAAAUGGAGUUCUUGCAUCUUUGUACUACAGAGCCAAAGGAACUAGAGAUGAGCAAAUCAAUUCUAAGCAAACCGAGUUCCGAAACUUCCUAAAACUUCGGAUUCCAGCUAAUCUGUUACAGUUGCCCGUGUAAUCCAGGCUUGGAUAUUGAUGUGAUAGGAUGUCUGACAGGGAAAGAUAGAAAAAAAAUCUUAUUUUAAAGGGAAUCUGCCAGCUCCAAAAUACCCCCCAAGCUGGAGGGAGCAGAGUAUAGUGUAAUUAAUGCCGAGUCUGGUUAUGUAACUUUUAUCUUCAUACUCACUCACAUCCUGAUACUGUGCCCGACAAUGCAUUGAGAGGUCUCCCAUGCUCACGCACAUAAUGGAGAGGACUCGAAGAAGAGUCCGCUCAAUGCAUUUUACUGCUGGUUUGUUGGAGUACAAGUGAGUAUGAAGAUACUAAUUCCAUAAUCGGAUUCUGCUUCACUUACAGUAUACAACGCUUACUCUAGUUUGGAGGGGUGUUUUGCAGAUGACAGAUUCCCUUUAAAACCAGAAUACAGCUGGCUUGGUGUCAGGGAGAAUUUACUGUUGGAAAACAAUAGCUGGUAAGCUAGAUUUAAUUAACUGACAGAGAAACAGGUUUUAGCUACGAACUGGACAGGAUCAGUGUAAUGAGUAUGUCAAUGAACUCAGUCAGGCUGCCAGCCAUUUGCAGUGCUACAGCAAUAUUCAAAGCUAUAGUACUCAAUUUUUUUUAUCAACGUAUAUCAGUCCAAUCUACAUCACAUAAUUCAUAAUCACAGACGGAAAUGUUCUACAAUAUUAAUCCUAGUGCUGAUAGUGUACUG